rnacentral:misc_RNA from 1 species
GAUGAAGAACGCAGCGAAAUGCGAUAAGUAAUGUGAAUUGCAGAAUUCAGUGAAUCAUCUAAUCUUUGAACGCACAUUGCGCCCGCCAGUAUUCUGGCGGGCAUGCCUGUUCGAGCGUCAUUUCAACCAUCAAGCCCCCGGGCUUGUGUUGGGGACCUGCGGCUGCCGCAGGCCCUGAAAAGCAGUGGCGGGCUCGCUGUCACACCGAGCGUAGUAGAUUUUAUCUCGCUCUGGGCGUGCUGCGGGUUCCGGCCGUUAAACCACCCUUUUAACCCAAGGUUGACCUCGGAUCAGGUAGGAAGACCCGCUGAACUUAAGCAUAUCAAUAAGCGGAGGA